GACGAACGCUGGCGGCGUGCUUAACACAUGCAAGUCGAACGGAAAGGCCCUGCUUUUGUGGGGUGCUCGAGUGGCGAACGGGUGAGUAACACGUGAGUAACCUGCCCUUGACUUUGGGAUAACUUCAGGAAACUGGGGCUAAUACCGGAUAGGAGCUCCUGCUGCAUGGUGGGGGUUGGAAAGUUUCGGCGGUUGGGGAUGGACUCGCGGCUUAUCAGCUUGUUGGUGGGGUAGUGGCUUACCAAGGCUUUGACGGGUAGCCGGCCUGUGAGGGUGACCGGCGACAUUGGGACUGAGAGACGGCCCAGACUCCUACGGGAGGCAGCAGGGGGGAGUAUGGCACAAUGGGCGGAAGCCUGAGGCGGCAACGCCGCGUGCGGGAUGACGGCCUUCGGGUGGUAAACCGCUUUCGCCUGUGACGAAGCGUGAGUGACGGUAAUGGGUAAAGAAGCACCGGCUAACUACGUG
rnacentral:rRNA from 1 species